CCGGGCGGCCGGAGCGCGGGGCGCGCAGAGGGCUGCACGACUGCCGACGGAGGAGGAGGAAGAGGAGGAGGAGGAGCAGAUGAGGUAACUGAGGUACAGAGAAGUGAAGUGUCUUUCCCAAGGUCAUACAACAGAAGAAGAUUUACGUCUUUACAUCUGACAUGCAGACACAUCGAGACGUCUCUCUGGAUCCUGGGCAUUUUUCUCUGAGGAGAAAAUUGUGGUCAUUGAACGGAUGGAGCCUGGUGAGAGGUUUUUCUGGACAGAAUCCUGCACAUUUCUGGGCAUGAGGAAGCAUACUCUCCCAGAUUUUGGAUGAGGCAUGUAAUUGUUUCAUAGACCCAACUUAAAAAAGAAGAAAUUGAAAAUAGUUUUCCACGAACCACAUAUGCAAUUGAUCUCCAAUAGAAGACUGCUCACUGAAAACUGGUGUCGUUUAUUCUCCUAAUGAUUUUCAACCUGAAGGCUGCUGGCCCUAUCCCAUGUGUAUUUGGCCUGAGGAAAUGCAAAGAAGCUGGAAGUGACUUUUGGAGCCAAGUGCCAUCUUGACCCAGAAUCCAACUCAGUCAGUUCCACAGCUCCCAACCAGCAGGGGAAAGUCAGGAACCAGAGUUUGCCUCUUGGAUUCCCUUCAGAUGCUACUUUCACCGUAACAACCAGGAACCCUUCACCUCCUGACUGGUCUUGGCAGAGGAAGAAGUGGAUAGUGGUAUUUCUCAAGUAAUAGGCAUAAUAAUGAUAGAAUUUAUUGUGCAUCAUGCAGUGUGCUGUUUGGGAAUUUCUAAAACAAGCAAGUGACCAAUUCUCUACCCCCUAACUAUGCUCUAAUGGAGGGAGACAGAUGUAAAAGUAUCUACAAGCAGAGUAAUUAAAGGAAGCCACUGAAUGUA